UACGUAGGUGGCAAGCGUUGUCCGGAUUUACUGGGCGUAAAGAGCGCGCAGGCGGUCGUUCAAGUCGAGUGUGAAAGCCCCCGGCUCAACUGGGGAGGGUCACUCGAUACUGAUCGACUCGAAGGCAGGAGAGGGUAGUGGAAUUCCCGGUGUAGUGGUGAAAUGCGUAGAUAUCGGGAGGAACACCAGUGGCGAAGGCGACUACCUGGCCUGUUCCUGACGCUGAGGCGCGAAAGCUAGGGGAGCAAACGGG
rnacentral:rRNA from 1 species